UGCGGUGAAUACGUUCCCGGGUCUUGUACACACCGCCCGUCACACCAUGGGAGUCAGUAACGCCCGAAGUCAGUGACCCAACCGAAAGGAGGGAGCUGCCGAAGGUGGGGCCGAUAACUGGGGUGAAGUCGUAACAAGGUAGCCGUAUCGGAAGGUGCGGCUGGAUCACCUCCUUUCUAAGGAA
rnacentral:rRNA from 1 species